UGGGGAAUUUUGGACAAUGGGCGAAAGCCUGAUCCAGCAAUGCCGCGUGUGUGAAGAAGGCCUUCGGGUUGUAAAGCACUUUUGUCCGGAAAGAAAUCCUUGGCUCUAAUACAGUCGGGGGAUGACGGUACCGGAAGAAUAAGCACCGGCUAACUACGUGCCAGCAGCCGCGGUAAUACGUAGGGUGCAAGCGUUAAUCGGAAUUACUGGGCGUAAAGCGUGCGCAGGCGGUUUGCUAAGACCGAUGUGAAAUCCCCGGGCUCAACCUGGGAACUGCAUUGGUGACUGGCAGGCUAGAGUAUGGCAGAGGGGGGUAGAAUUCCACGUGUAGCAGUGAAAUGCGUAGAGAUGUGGAGGAAUACCGAUGGCGAAGGCAGCCCCCUGGGCCAAUACUGACGCUCAUGCACGAAAGCGUGGGGGAGCAAACAGGAUUAGAUACCCUGGUAGUCCACGCCCUAAACGAUGUCAACUAGUUGUUGGGGAUUCAUUUCCUUAGUAACGUAGCUAACGCGUGAAGUUGACCGCCUGGGGAGUACGGUCGCAAGAUUAAAACUGAAAUGAAUUGACGGGGUCAUAGCUGUUUCCU
rnacentral:rRNA from 1 species